rnacentral:lncRNA from 1 species
ACAGAACCAUUUUUUACAACUUUUUCGUCCCAUUUUCGAAAACGUCUUCAAAAUUUGCAACGCAAUAUGAUGUUGUGCCGUCUGUUAGUCAUCACUCUUUCACGGAUAUAUUUUUUCAGCGCUGUUGCGGAUGUCCACCCGUCGAAUUCGCAUGGAUUUCGGCACGAGGCGGAGCCCCAACAUCUUCAAGCAGAACCGCGGCCCCAGACUCAUCACAAACUACGUGGGGCAGAUUUACAAACACGCCGGGGACGACGGCGACGAUGCAUCGAAUCCCGUGUUCUCAACGGGCGACUUCAAGUUUGAAACUGGCAACGGCGGCUCGGUGUUAGCCGACGUGGAUGACGACUGUGAAGGCUGCGGCGGCCCUCAUCCUCAUCCAUGCUGCCUGGUCAGAAGAUUUCGCUCAGGCCAACUUCGGUGACACGAAAGUCUAAUUUGACUGCCAGAAGAGCUUUUGUUGUCGUUUGCAUUACUUAUUCUAUUAACUACAAAAAUUCUGUGAUAUACAUGAAUUUUGUACGGCGAGGGAUCGAAGCAACUAUUUGAAGUAUAAUGAAUGUUUUCGCUGGGCAAAAGGGAUCAAGUUUGGGAUGAUUUCCAUCGAUGAGAAUUUAUCCCAUAAUUUUGCAUCUUUAGGAUUUGGUUCAACAGCUGGCACAAAUACUUGAUGGUAAUGGAAAGCAAUAACUGAUCACUGACCUUCGGAGGCAUUUAAAAAAGUUAAAGUGAAAUUUAACUCCUUAAUUAAUAGUGCAGGCAGAUGUGAAUGUGAAUAUUUCAUCUGACGAUGGAAACCCACAUUGGCCUGAGAGAAAUUAUUAUAAUGUAAUCCAUAAAAAAUGCACACCAACAGCAUGAAAAUAAUUUGAAAGAUUCAUAAAUAGAAAUGAUAUCUAGGUUUACAGAGUAACAGUGAAGAUACAAUUUAAUAUCGAGUGAGAGAGGAUGGAAGGUACAGGGGUAAUUUAUUUGACAUUGAAGAUUGUGGCGGGGCCCAGGUGGUAACCCCCAUGCGGGAUUCAGCUUUCAGCGGAUGGAUUGAGUAGAAAUAGCUGCUGGUGCUCCAUGCUGCAGAACGCAAGAAUGAUGAAGCAUCCGGGCCAGUCAGAUAAGUUAAACUGCAGGCAUUGUGUUUCUGAAAGAUAUGUCGGAAGUUUACUCUCACUGUAUUCUGCUGAUGGUAAAACAAACCAUGUAUUUUGAAUUCGGGUAAAUUUAGACGAUGCAGAAAUUUGUGCUACCCCGACAGAACUAGACGAAUGCUUUAGAGUCAGGUGUCAAUUAAGCGCUUUAAAUUUGAACUUGUCACUGUUGACGUGAAAAAUGCCAGGCGGAAAGAAGAAAGAUAUCAUACAGACCUGAAGUCCCGCUAUGCACCAUGUAUAUAUAGAUUACGGGCUCUUCCAUCAUCUAUGGAUGUUGGCGAGGGAUAGGCAAUGAGCGAAUACAGUGGAAGCGAAGGAAGAGAGCGGGUAACUAACGGGAGCAGAUGCGAUUUUGAUUGGAGAGAUUACACGUUUAAUUACGGUUCAUCCUGCAUUGCAUCACUUCAUACUAUAAACCAAUCGUAACUGAGGUAAUACGUAAUUAUUUAUCUGCAAUCUACCGAAUAAUUAUUUUUGAAUGACCACUUUUAUGCAAGGUAGGAAAUCGCCGUACGAGUUGAGAGGUUCCGGAAAACUGAUGGCAUUUUUUAUUUUAAAAAUUCAUUUGAACUUUUACCAGCACCAACAUUUAUCUUAAAUUACUAGGUGUCUACCUUAAGAGCUACAAAAUUAUUUCUCUUAGGAUGACGUAUUAGUUGAUUUUGGUUGAAAAACGAAACGGGGUCUGAGAUGUACGAUUAAAAUCGCCGUGUGCGAACGCACAGAGCGAUGAGAAACUCGCGUCAAGUUUAAAAUCCCAUUGCAAAGCCAGAAGUUCAGCGAAAUAUAGUAUGGGCUGCUUGAUGGCCGUAUUGGGCAUUAUACGAGAAACUAUUCUUCGGAAUUCUAAAUUUCCAUGAUACAUGCUAUAUUCCUAAUGGAAUCUCAAGUCACAUAAUAUUUUGCUGGUGAUAUUCCAGAGUUCGGCGCAAUGAAACGUGUCAAAUCUCUCAGGAUGAUAAGGUUCUGCUUUCGCGAACACACUAUCGUUCUACUGUCCACGUAUCUCCUUCCUAACUUACUCUAUUCGUACAUCUUAUCCGACAGUUUCUUGCAAUAGUCUUAACAGAUCGGUGCUGAAGCUUCAGACAAAUCGGUAAGCAAGUUGAACUCGUACACAUAAUAAAAAAGGAAUGCCGUUGCUUAACGUGAUCACCAAGUUUAUUUAUAAUAGUCACAUAUAUUAAUUCAAAGUCUUAAUGCCGCUAAAGUUGACGUGAUCGUUUCGAGUGCAGAAAUCUCUCAACCUUUUUAUACAUGAAAAAUGUUCUAUUGAAGGACAAGCGUUGUCUAUGAUUUUCUAUUACAACUUCAGCUCUAAUUAAGAGCCAUCAAAUGUCAAUCACUUCUAAUUAACAUGCGACAACGUAACUGGCAUCUUAUUUGCAUCAGUAUUGAAUGCAACGCCAAUUCACAACGCCAAUGCAUCACCCCUACCUCGUGUUAGUUGUGCAUUACUUACCCAUUGUAUAUAUGUACAAGUUUAAAUUAUGCAUGUAAUUUAAGUAGAAAUGGAUUUCCGGAAACAAUUGUAUAGCAAAAAAAAUCAUUAGUUCAAUAUUAGUAACGCACUUUCAUUUUUCACUUUGAUGAAGGAGUAUUAGUUCACAUAUUAAUGUAACUGUUACUCAAUGAAUAUAAUGCAUGUAUUUGGAACCCCAAUGAAAUUAAAUUUUAAUUACAUUUGUAUUAAGAAAAGUUAUUAUUGCGUCUCAGUCCAGCGACAUUAUUUUAAAAUAAAAAUUGUUGUCGAGAUAUUUCAACGAUCUUCGAAAUGACGACAAUAAUUAUUUACGGUUAAUUUCAUGCAGGGUAUUUUUUAUGCCUUAGGUGUGUAAGAUAUCAAUUUGAGUGACCAUGACAAUGUACAGUGACUCGUCACCAUAUUCCUGGCAAACUAUCACCUGCUGUCAGUAAUAUAAAAAAACUAAAUGGGACAAAUUUUGCUGAAUAGAAAAUCGCAUCGAACAAUUUAAAAAUAGUCAAUAUGUGGCAACUCUGCCCGUUCGAGUUAUUUUCUUUCUUCGUGAAGUUAAGAGAGUCAAUAAUUUGUCAAUCUUCGUGAAGUUAAGAGAGUCAAUGUAAUGUCAAUAAUUUAAUUUGAGAAACUAAUUGUAAGAUUGAUGAAUGCCCACAUAUCAAUUUUCUUAUUGUAACCCAGCCCAGUACUUGACAUAAACGAAGUUGAUAUGAUU